rnacentral:rRNA from 1 species
GACGAACGCUGGCGGCAUGCCUAACACAUGCAAGUCUAGGGGUAGCAAUACCACUGGCGCACGGGUGAGUAACACGUAGGUUAUCUGCCCCCAUCACAGACAUAACCCCGGGAAACCGGGGCUAAUAUCUGAUGAGGUCGCGAGAUCAAAGCUUCGGCGGAUGGGGAUGAGCCUGCGGCUGAUUAGCUAGUUGGUGAGGUAAUGGCUCACCAAGGCGACGAUCAGUAGCUGGUCUGAGAGGACGAACAGCCACACUGGAACUGAGACACGGUCCAGACUCCUACGGGAGGCAGCAGUGAGGAAUAUUGGUCAAUGGGAGCAAUCCUGAACCAGCAAUGCCGCGUGUGGGAUGACAGGGCUUCGCCUUGUAAACCACUGUCGGACGGGACGAAAGGAGGCCUCGGGCCUCUGGGACGGUACCGUCAAAGGAAGGGUCGGCUAACUACGUGCCAGCAGCCGCGGU